CUGCUCCUAAACAUUUGUAAAUAAUACAUUAGUCAUUUUGACAGUACAUAUGCAUUCAUCUGAAUUGGGCAAUUCUUGUACCCAGAGGCAACAUACAGGGCAAGAUCUUUAGAUAUAGCCCUAAACAAAGGUGGCACAGUCCAAAUGACCAAUUCGUUAGUCAGCACAUAGUGUAACUUGUUAGUAGCUUUUGAGGACCACUGAAUGCUCAGAUCAGUUUAAUUGUGCUUAAUUAAGACAAAUUGUAAGUAUUUUGAUGCCAUUGUUUUUGUCUCUUUCCUAGAAGUGACU